CCUACGGGCGGCAGCAGUCGAGAAUCAUUCACAAUGGGGGAAACCCUGAUGGUGCGACGCCGCGUGGGGGAAUGAAGGUCUUCGGAUUUUAAACCCCUGUCAUGUGGGAGCAAAUUAAAAAGAUAGUACCCCAAGAGGAAGAGACUGCUAACUCUGUGCCAGCAGCCGCGGUAAUACCGAGGUCUCAAGCGUUGUUCGGAAUCACUGGGCGUAAAGCGUGCGUAGGCUGUUUCGUAAGUCGUGUGUGAAAGGCGCGGGCUCAACCCGCGGACGGCACAUGAUACUGCGAGACUAGAGUAAUGGAGGGGGAGCCAGAAUUCUCGGUGUAGCAGUGAAAUGCGUAGAUAUGGAGAGGAACACUCGUGGCGAAGGCGGGUUCCUGGACAUUAACUGACGCUGAGGCACGAAGGCCAGGGGAGCGAAAGGGAUUAGAUACCCUUGUAGUC
rnacentral:rRNA from 1 species